CCUGAAAGAACCUGCCUUUGUAGUGCUCACACAGAUUGUCUGAUGAAAAGUAAAUAGCAAGGCGUCUUGCGAUUGAGACUUCAGUGUCCCCUUCGUCUAGAGGCCCAGGACACCGCCCUUUCACGGCGGUAACAGGGGCUCGAAUCCCCUAGGGGACGCCACUUGCUGGUUCGUGAGUGAAAGUCGCCGACCUCCAUAUCUCAAAACUGAUUCUCAGGAAACACGUUUGAGAUAUUUGCUCUUUAAAAAUCUGGAUCAAGCUGAAAAUUGAAACGACACACUGUUUCCUUUCUCCGUAAUAAGAGAGGAAAAAGCGGUGUGUUCGAGUCUCUCAAAUUUUCGCAACGCGGACUGUUUUACGAAACAGUUUCGGGUUGUGA
rnacentral:misc_RNA from 1 species